rfam:Capsicum annuum cultivar Zunla-1 chromosome 2, whole genome shotgun sequence
GACUGAGGUGGUGAAGGUAAUUUCUGAGCAUACCCUUAAAUCUUUCCCAAGCUUGGUAGAGAUUUUCUUCUUCUUUCUGCUUGAAACUCAGAAUCUCGCUUCUUAAGUA